rnacentral:rRNA from 1 species
UAAGGAAUAUUGCUCAAUGGGAGAAAUCCUGAAGCAGCAACGCCGCGUGGAGGCUGAAGGGUCUAUGACUUGUAAACUCCUGUAAAGAAGGACAAAAUUCCCAUUUGUUGGGAGAUGAUGGUACUUCUGGAGUAAGCCCCGGCUAACUACGUGCCAGCAGCCGCGGUAAUACGUAGGGGGCAAGCGUUGUCCGGAUUUACUGGGGGUAAAGGGUGCUCAGGCGGAUUUGUAAGUCAGAGGUGAAAUCUUACAGCUUAACUGUGAAACUGCCUUUGAUACUGCAAGCCUAGAGUAUGGAAGAGAGUGAUGGAAUAUCUGGUGUAGCAGUGAAAUGCGUAGAUAUCAGAUAGAACACCAAUGGCGAAGGCAGUCACUUGGUCCAUUACUGACGCUAAAGCACGAAAGCGUGGGUAGCAAACA